GCCUGGCUGGCUCAGUGGGUAAAGUAUGUAGCUCUUGAUCUCAGAGUUGUGAGUUCAAGCCUCAUGUUGGGUG
rnacentral:tRNA from 1 species